rnacentral:rRNA from 1 species
AAAACUUUACAAUGCCGGCAACGGCGAUAAGGGGACCUCGAGUGCCAGGUUACAAAUCUGGCUGUCGUGAUGCCUAAAAAGCAUUGCAUAGCAAGGGCCGGGCAAGACCGGUGCCAGCAGCCGCGGUA